rnacentral:rRNA from 1 species
AUGAUUGUCCUAGACAGGGGGCCCUCAAGGAAGGCCCUCGCCUCCUUGCUCAUGCUUGUUUGCUGGGAGCUUUGGAGUGAGCGCAACACAAGAAUUUUUAGGCAUACCGCCGCCACUGCGACCAUUGUUAUUGAUAGGAUCAAGGGGUAGGCCCAUCUUUGGGCGUUAGCUAUUUAUGUAAUGUAA